UAGUUUCCAGACUUCCUUGGAAAUGUCAAUGUGCACGCGUGACGUGAGCGGAGAAUUCGAAUUCAGGAGUCGUGGGAGAAUGCGAUGAAACUGUCAUCUAAGAAGUGGUCAGUGCGUAGCCAACAUCAUCCCAGCGGACAGUAGCAUCAACAUUGUCUCCCCAGAAUUCUCCUCCGGCUAUCGCAGCAAUGAUGAAUGCCGUUGACUCAUUUUUGUCAAGCUGGGCUAGCACAUGCUGGUGCAGUUCACUGAUCUCUCCAUUGAGCCCCAGUACGACUAUAUCAGUGUUGGAUCUGGUUGACCUAGGCUCGCAGGUCAUCCACUAUGCAGGCCUGGACAUUCCGUCAGCUUUCCUGACUGCCUGACCAAUAGCUAUGUGGUGUUGGUGACAUUCGUCUUGGACCACUCCAAGAUGGAGAGAGGCUUCUCCAUCAGCUUCACCGAGUAGGACAGUCCCGAAAGAGCACAGUGCGUCCUCAUCUUGAAGCUGCCUCAAAGGGCAAUUCAGAACCAGACCAGCCUUCAACUUCAUUUUAAGGAUUGAUCACCAUGAUGAGGAUGAGACGAUGGUCAACAA